AAAUAAUUUUUGUUUGCAAUGCAAAAAUCAAUAUAAAUCUUGUGACGCGCUGCGUUCAACUUUAGUCAGCGCCAGGCGCUUACCGAGGAGGGACGUAUCGCUCGCUGUUGCGCCGCGUGAACUCGCCGGAGGUCGAAAAAUAUAGCGCAACCUGCGCAACUAACACGUUUUGAUACUAGAUAAUGAAAGCAUAUUUAAUUCAGACUAUCAGACUCAAUUGAAUACCAGUACAAAUAAUAUGGAAAAUGAAGAUACAAUACAUGGAAGACGAAUUAUAGAUUUUAGUUUUUUUAUAAAUCAAUUACUUAUAAUUGAUAAACAUGGUGAAAAGUUUGGUUGUCAAUUAAAUAAUUUAAAAAUUGUAAACGAUUACUUGUUUAUUGUAACUCAAUUGAGCUAUUCUAGGUUAUAAAAUUCAUCGGUACAAAUAAUAUUUCAUAAACUAUAAAAACAAUAAAUUAUUUCGGAAAAAAGUGGCUAAGUCUCAAGUUUGUUUGUGCCGCGUGGCGGUCCGCUGGUGUGCGUUGCGUAUUUCGCUAGACGCACACAUGCGCAAGUGCUGCCGGCUAUCGUCUAAUUUACCUACAACUGAGCAAUUCGAUUUUGUAAUAGCGCUCU
rnacentral:lncRNA from 1 species